rnacentral:rRNA from 1 species
AUUGAACGCUGGCGGCAUGCCUUACACAUGCAAGUCGAACGGCAGCACGGGUGCUUGCACCUGGUGGCGAGUGGCGAACGGGUGAGUAAUACAUCGGAACGUACCUUAUCGUGGGGAUAACGCAGCGAAAGAGUAGCUAAUACCGCAUACGCCAUACGGGGGAAAGGGGGGGAUCGCAAGACCUCUCACUAUUGGAGCGGCCGAUAUCGGAUUAGCUAGUUGGUGGGGUAAAGGCCCACCAAGGCGACGAUCCGUAGCUGGUUUGAGAGGACGACCAGCCACACUGGGACUGAGACACGGCCCAGACUCCUACGGGAGGCAGCAGUGGGGAAUUUUGGACAAUGGGGGCAACCCUGAUCCAGCCAUCCCGCGUGUGCGAUGAAGGCCUUCGGGUUGUAAAGCACUUUUGGCAGGAAAGAAAUCGCACGGGCUAAUACCUCGUGUGGAUGACGGUACCUGCAGAAUAAGCACCGGCUAACUACGUGCCAGCAGCCGCCGUAA